UGCAGUCUGCAACUCGAGUGCAUGAAGCUGGAAUCGCUAGUAAUCGCGAAUCAGAAUGUCGCGGUGAAUACGUUCCCGGGUCUCGUACACACCGCCCGUCACACCAUGGGAGCCGACAACGCCCGAAGUCAGUGACCUAACCGAGAGGGAGGAGCUGCCGAAGGCGGGGUUGGUAACUGGGGUGAAGUCGUAACAAGGUAAC
rnacentral:rRNA from 1 species